CUCCCAUCGCUGCCCCUCCUCCUCCGCCCCUCCCCCACCCCCUCCCCCCUCCCCAGCAUCUCGUCCGCCCCGGGUGCGGGGGCGAGCUGCUGCACCCACUCCCCUCCUCCAACUCCCCCACCCCUCCUCCAAUGGAGAGAGGCGUCGUGCCUAUUGCCAGGACGGGACAUGGGGGUGGAGGCGAGGGAGAGAGCGGGUGUUGCUGAAGAAGCUGGGGAGGCAAGACGAGGGCGGCGUGGCGUUCCGUGGCCGCGGUGGCCGGAGGGGCGGCUCCACGUCGCGGUGUAUGAGGUGCCUAGAGGAGGAUGCCGCGGCAGGUUAAACUCCUCUCCCGUUGUAGAACAGUCCGCAGUGUCGUCACCGUCGUCCUUGCCUUCGAGCCAUCCGUGACGUCGUCGCCGUCGCCUAGAGGACGCCGGUAGGAAGCAGCAGCUCGCCGUUUCCUUGGUCCCCGCCGACGCCAAGCGAGAAGAGAAGGCACGUGUGCUGUAGGUGUAGCAAAUUGGACAAGCUACACCGCUAAUGCCGGGUGUAUGGAGCUCAGGAAGGCUAUCUGCAACAAGCUUCAGGAGGAUAAUGGUCUAACCUAUAGCCCAGAUCAUGUGCUAGCGACCAAUGGGGCUAAGCAAUGCACUACACACGCUGUUCUUGAUGUUCUCUCAUGUGGUGAUGAGCGCCAUGGAUUAGUCCCUGCUGUAGGAGAGAGAGAAGAUGAGAGGGAGAGAGAGAAGGAAGGAGAGGAGGGAGAAAGAGAGAGGAGAGAGUAGCUGGAGGUGCGUCGACCGGCGUCGGCAUGUGCUGGCAAGGUUGGGCGGGACGGGGCGGUUGGCUGCGGCUCCGUGGUUUCAGAUGGGGCACCGUGGGGAGCCAGGGAGGCGGCUUGGCCCAGCCAUGGCGUUGGUGCUGCGGAGCGCCGCCUCGCGCUACUUCGUCGUCGACACUGCGGGCUUCGCCACCGCCUACGCGAUGCCGCCCCAGGGGGAUCAGCAGCAGCCCCCCUCACUGUAGGGGCCCAGCCAGCAGGUCGGGGCCAAGCUGGGGCCCUGCGCCGAGUGCAGCGCCACCGGCACCAAGAAGUGCUCCGGGUGCAAGCGCAUGCAUAUUGGUCGGCACUGCUGUUGUCACCGGGCAGAAUGGCCGACUGGCCAUGGGCAGGCUCGGAGCCCUCUGCGAGUAGGUGAAGAAGCUUAAUUUCCAGGGGUAUGAGGUGAUUCUGUUCGCCUCCGGCGCCGUUGGCAUCGGGAGGCAGAGGCUCAAGUACCGAAAGUUCAUCAACAACCAUGUUGCAGAGAGUUUUUUCUCACAGCAGUUUACUGACGGUCAUUGCCUCUUGUUAUCGUCACUGCUUGUGUGCUGAUAAUUCUCCUUGCUUGAAGUAUUGCCGAUCUGCAGAACCCACAGUUGGACCUGGAUGGGAAGGCCUGCGCUGCCGUCGGCCAGAGUGGCCUCAUGGCUAUCUACGAUACACUGUUUAGCCAACUUGAUGUGACAUUGUCUCAGCUUCUUGUUAUAGAUCGUGAUUUCCGGGAUCCAAGUUUUGGGCUCCGGCUUCAUGAGACUGAAUUUUGUUCCAGGCUAACAGUGAAAAUUUUAUUUGUAAAAUAUGGCGAUCCCUAUAGUGGUAUUUCUGAAGCUUCGCUAUGCUUGCUUUCCCACCAACAAGCAGUAAUCCAAUCACUGGUGCACCAGGUACUAUAUCAUCGGCCAUCCACCAGGACGAUGCUGACAGCCAAAGAAAGCUCCUUCCCCACCGCUGACAGCCGAAACCGCUCUUGUGCUCAUCAAGGUUAGUCAAUGUAUAGGACUGCGCUUUUGUGUGUCCUUUCCUUCAAGCUGUCAUUCAGGAGAAGAGAGGAGUGAGGCCUCGAUCCAGACUCAGGAGGAGGAGGAGACGAGGAGCAACACCUAUUUUUAUUGUCCGUCAAGCCCCAUUAUACUUUGCGGUUCCAGCCACCUGAUCACUAACCUGAAUGAGUAAGUAGACCAUUAUAUAUGAUGGUCUUGCUUCCUUUUGUGAUCAUGUAUCUUUGUUAGAUCCGGUGAGAAAAGGCGGCUUCCAAGCAGAGGAUGCGGCAGUGUUGGCCACGUUUGGUUUUCAUAAGCUAAUAAUCUACCCCUUCCUAUCUACUUCCUUUGUGUACCACAUUGUAACUAAUCAUCUAUGUACCAGUAGUAAAGACUUGGGUGUCUGAAUAUUCUCACAAUAGUUGUCUCCCUCUCGCCCUUUGCGCCAUUGGCGCAACGAGUCAUUUAGUUUAUACUAAAAGUUGGGAAAUUUUACAGUGCAUUAUAAUACACCAGAGCACGUGUAUUAAUAUGGGUGAUCUAACGGAUAACAAUAACUGGGCCUUUUUGAGUCCAAAGGUAUU